UUUUUUUUUACUUUUUAAGACCCCGCAUAUAUAGGAGAACUGGUUUAGACAACACAAAUGCUGAUGUAGCAUUGCUGUGUGUGUUAUAUCAAUAAAUAUGGCAUUACCAUUUUGAGUAUUGGCA